GAGUUUGAUCAUGGCUCAGAUUGAACGCUGGCGGCAUGCCUAACACAUGCAAGUCGAACGGUAACAGGUCUUCGGAUGCUGACGAGUGGCGGACGGGUGAGUAAUGCGUAGGAAUCUGUCUUUUAGUGGGGGACAACCCAGGGAAACUUGGGCUAAUACCGCAUGAGCCCUGAGGGGGAAAGCGGGGGAUCUUCGGACCUCGCGCUAAGAGAGGAGCCUACGUCCGAUUAGCUAGUUGGCGGGGUAAAGGCCCACCAAGGCGACGAUCGGUAGCUGGUCUGAGAGGACGACCAGCCACACUGGGACUGAGACACGGCCCAGACUCCUACGGGAGGCAGCAGUGGGGAAUUUUUCGCAAUGGGGGCAACCCUGACGAAGCAAUGCCGCGUGGAUGAAGAAGGCCUUCGGGUUGUAAAGUCCUUUCGUGGGGGACGAAAAGGUGGGUUCUAAUACAAUCUGCUAUUGACGUGAAUCCAAGAAGAAGCACCGGCUAACUCCGUGCCAGCAGCCGCGGUAAUACGGGGGGUGCAAGCGUUAAUCGGAAUCACUGGGCGUAAAGGGUGCGUAGGCGGUACGUUAGGUCUGUCGUGAAAUCCCCGGGCUCACCUGGGAAUGGCGGUAGAAACCGG
rnacentral:rRNA from 1 species